AUCCGGCUGACGAGUCCCGAACAGGACAAAACGAGCGUUCUGGAU
rnacentral:hammerhead_ribozyme from 1 species